rnacentral:rRNA from 1 species
CCUACGGGAGGCAGCAGUGGGGAAUCUUGCGCAAUGGGCGAAAGCCUGACGCAGCAACGCCGCGUGUGUGAUGAAGGUCUUCGGAUCGUAAAGCACUGUCGCGAGGGACGAAUAAGGGGCGGGCUAACAUCCCGUUCCGAUGACGGUACCUCGAGAGGAAGCACCGGCUAACUCUGUGCCAGCAGCCGCGGUAAUACAGAGGGUGCAAGCGUUGUUCGGAAUUAUUGGGCGUAAAGCGCGUGUAGGCGGCUUUGCAAGUUGGGUGUGAAAGCCCUCGGCUUAACCGAGGAAGUGCGCCCAAAACUACGAGGCUUGAGUGCCGGAGAGGGUGGCGGAAUUCCCGGUGUAGAGGUGAAAUUCGUAGAUAUCGGGAGGAACACCAGUGGCGAAGGCGGCCACCUGGACGGUAACUGACGCUGAGACGCGAAAGCGUGGGGAGCAAACAGGAUUAGAUACCCUGGUAGUCCACGCUGUAAACGAUGAGCGCUAGGUGUUGUGGGUGUUGACCCCCGCAGUGCCGCAGCUAACGCAUUAAGCGCUCCGCCUGGGAAGUACGGCCGCAAGGCUAAAACUCAAAGGAAUUGACGG